rnacentral:rRNA from 1 species
CGGCGGACGGGUGAGUAACACGUGGGUAACCUGCCUGUAAGACUGGGAUAACUCCGGGAAACCGGGGCUAAUACCGGAUGCUUGAUUGAACCGCAUGGUUCAAUCAUAAAAGGUGGCUUUCAGCUACCACUUGCAGAUGGACCCGCGGCGCAUUAGCUAGUUGGUGAGGUAACGGCUCACCAAGGCGACGAUGCGUAGCCGACCUGAGAGGGUGAUCGGCCACACUGGGACUGAGACACGGCCCAGACUCCUACGGGAGGCAGCAGUGGUCAUAG